rnacentral:rRNA from 1 species
CCUACGUGAGGCAGCAGUGGGGAAUAUUGCGCAAUGGGCGAAAGCCUGACGCAGCGACGCCGCGUGAGGGAUGAAGGUCUUCGGAUCGUAAACCUCUGUCAGCAGGGAAGAACGGUCACUGUGCUAAUCAGCAGUGAAUUGACGGUACCUGCAAAGGAAGCACCGGCUAACUCCGUGCCAGCAGCCGCGGUAAUACGGAGGGUGCGAGCGUUAAUCGGAAUUACUGGGCGUAAAGCGCUCGUAGGCGGUCGGUCAAGUCAAGGGUGAAAUCCCCGCGCUCAACGUGGGAACUGCCUUUGAAACUGGCAAACUGGAGUGUGUGAGAGGAGAGUGGAAUUCCAGGUGUAGGAGUGAAAUCCGUAGAUAUCUGGAGGAACAUCAGUGGCGAAGGCGACUAUCUGGCACAUAACUGACGCUGAGGAGCGAAAGCGUGGGUAGCAAACAGGAUUAGAUACCCUUGUAGUC